UCGAGACGCGGGACCACGACCACUCAUUUCUUUCUCUCCCGAACCUAAGGACGCGGCGAGAUCUGUUUUGCUUUCGUGCACAAAUUCUGAGUCAAUAUAUUUCUCUAAAAAGUCUUGUUUUAUUAAUUUUUCCCAAUAUUUAUAUCUUAUCGGUAAUUAUAUUAUUGCUUUACAGUAUGUCGUUGCUCGAUGUAAAAAGAUCUCACAUUGCACUUGAAAAAGAGGACGUGAAAGAGAACCAACCAAAGAUUGUUCGGAGAUCACCAAGGCACCUCCCGACGGAAUUAAAG